ensembl:snRNA U6 U6 spliceosomal RNA
GUUCUCACUUUGGCAGCACAUAUACUUAAAUUGGAAUGAUACAAAGAAGAUUAGCAUGGCCCCUGCUCAAGGAUGACAUGCAAAUUGGUGAAGCAUUUCAUGUUUUU